ACAGGGACUAAGUCGUAACAAGGCAAGGCUAGCGGAAGCUGGUCUUGGAUCACCUCCUUUCUAUAU
rnacentral:rRNA from 1 species